GCGUCGGGACGACCCGGCGCCUGGUUCUCAUCCCGGGACGGCCCG
rnacentral:ncRNA from 1 species